rnacentral:lncRNA from 1 species
GAGAUUGGAGGAGUUGCUGAGUGACAAUCAGGCUGUCAUCACUGAAUUCUGAUGGGCUACCUGGAACUGGCUUAGGGUGGGAUUACAUACGCCUCCUGCCACAUCGGAUUUCCUUCUAUUUUGUCAGGGGUGGCAUCAUCCAGUGAGUAAAUCUGUUAGUGAUCUCCCUCGCAUAACCUAGGAAUUCUCUCAGGAUCCAUUUUUCCAGUAGUUUUGAGAAAGCGACCAACAACAGCAAAGAGAGUAGUUCUUCCAUUCCAAGAGCAGCCAUCUUGCUUAACUGACAAACUAGAGAGAACUGCAAGGACUCAGUACAUCCCUGGCACAGUCCAUUCUCUCUCACAGCAUAUUGUAUGAGACUGUGUGAGUGCUGCUUCCACGCUACACUAAAAACCCAUGGUCCCUGCAUUAUUUGAGCAACUGACAAGCUUCUGAAGUUCAGGUUCGCGAACGCUGAGAGCAGCACCCAGUGGAUUUGUGGCAGAUUUUUGAUGAACCAAGCUGGCUGGUGUCGCCUCAGUUUGUCUAAAUUACCAAGGACCGCUGGAAUUUCCCUGGGAAUAUGUUUCGGGAAAGGUCAGAAACUCUUCAGUCGUCUUCACGCUUCCACUCAGUAGCAACGUUUUUGCACACUCAUUGACUAUCAACUGGUUGUCUAUGACUCAAAUUACAUAAUGAAUCCAGCACAUAAAUUAUUUACUCAGAUUUAAUGCCAGCAACUGUUAUCUUUGUAUUUUUUUCCCCUCUGCCAGCUAAUCUGGCUCAUUUCAUUGGAAUUUUGGUCAUGCCCAUUCUCCUUCUGCACUAAAUUAACUCCAUAACGUAGUAUAAACAGAACAAGCUUGUGUGUGAUAUGCUUAACUGUUAAUUUACCUAAUUAAACUAAUUCAAUUAAAUCAUUUACAUCUUUUUGGUAACAUGCCAGUUGAUACCACAGCAGAAGUGGGAUGUUUCAGAAGAUGAUUGUUCAGCAAAUGAAUGGAAAAAAAAAUAAAAGGAAAACAAAAUGAGACAACCGUCCAAAUCUCUUGGCUUGAAAAUUAAAUGAUACUGAAAAAAUGCAGCUUUCACGGGGCACUGUGAUUAGAUAUUUUUCUGAAAUCAAUUUUCUCUACAAAUUGGUAUUUUAACAGAGUGAUCACAAUCUAUUGUACAAAAUAUUUUAAACACUAUUUGUACAUUCACAUAUUUGGUAUGUUUAAGUAAAGUGUGCUUGUUCCCAC